CCUACGGGCGGCAGCAGUGAGGAAUAUUGGUCAAUGGGCGCGAGCCUGAACCAGCCAAGCAGCGUGAAGGAUGACUGCCCUACGGGUUGUAACCUUCUUUUAUCGAGGGCUAAAGUGAGCCACGUGUGCCUUUUUGUAUGUCCUUUAUGAUUAACGAUCGGCUAACUCCGUGCCAGCGGCCGCGGUAAUACGGAGGAUCCGAGCUUUAUCCGGAUUUGUUGGGUUGAAGGGGAGGGUAGAUGGGUUGUGAAGGCAGGUGUGAAAGUUUGCGGUUAAAGGGUUAAAUUGCAAUUGAUACUGGCUGGCUUGAGUACAGUUGAGGUAGGAGGAAUGUGUGGUGUAGCGGUGAAAUGCAUAGAUAUCACGAAGAACUCCGAUUGCGAAGGCAGCUCACGAAACCGCCACUGACAUUGAUGCACGAAAGUGUGGGUAUCAAACAGGAUUAGAUACCCGAGUAGUC
rnacentral:rRNA from 1 species